UACGUAGGGCGCAAGCGUUAUCCGGAAUUAUUGGGCGUAAAGAGCUCGUAGGCGGUUUGUCGCGUCUGCCGUGAAAGUCCGGGGCUCAACUCCGGAUCUGCGGUGGGUACGGGCAGACUAGAGUGAUGUAGGGGAGACUGGAAUUCCUGGUGUAGCGGUGAAAUGCGCAGAUAUCAGGAGGAACACCGAUGGCGAAGGCAGGUCUCUGGG
rnacentral:rRNA from 1 species